UACGUAGGGGGCCAGCGUUGUCCGGAAUCAUUGGGCGUAAAGCGCGCGUAGGCGGCCAGAUAAGUCCGGUGUGAAAGUCAAAGGCUCAACCUUUGAAUGCCGCUGGAAACUGCCUGGCUUGAGUCCGGAAGGGGCGAGUGGAAUUCCUGGUGUAGCGGUGAAAUGCGCAGAUAUCAGGAGGAACACCAAUGGCGAAGGCAGCUCGCUGGAACGGUACUGACGCUGGAGGCGCGAAAGCGUGGGGAGCGAACAGG
rnacentral:rRNA from 1 species